rnacentral:tRNA from 1 species
GGCGGCGCGUCGCCGUCAGGAGCGGCCGUUGCUUCGGGCGCGGCUGGCGCGUCGGAGCUCGGUUGGGCGUCGGCGUUCGAUUCCGCCGGCGGCGUCGC